rnacentral:rRNA from 1 species
GGACUACCGGGGUAUCUAAUCCUGUUUGCUCCCCACGCUUUCGCACCUCAGCGUCCAGUAUGAGCCAGUGAGCCGCCUUCGCCACUGGUGUUCUUCCGAAUAUCUACGAAUUUCACCUCUACACUCGGAAUUCCACUCACCUCUCUCACCUGCUAGCUCGGCAGUCUUAAAGGCAAUUCUGGAGUUGAGCUCCAGGCUUUCACCUCUAACUUACCAAGCCGCCUACGUGCGCUUUACGCCCAGUAAUUCCGAACAACGCUAGCCCCCUCCGUAUUACCGCGGCUGCUGGCAC